GAUUGUUAUUAGUUGUAAUUGGUUUUGAAAUAGCUUUCAGUAACUGAGAGUACUCUUUUCCGGUGCUAAGUGAUUAUUGUGGACCAUACCAACAUUUUUAGUGAAACCAAUUGCAACUGAUAUUUUACAUUUUUAUGCCCCACCUACGAUAGUAGAGGGGCAUUAUGUUUUCUGGUCUGUGCGUCCGUUCGUCCGUUCGUUCGUCCGUCUGUCCCGCUUCAGGUUAAGUUUUUGGUCGAGGUAGUUUUUGAUGAAGUUGAAGUCCAAUCGACUUCAAACUUGGUACACAUGUUCCCUAUGAUAUGAUCUUUCUAAUUUAAAUGCCAAAUUAGAGUUUUGACCCCAAUUUUACGGUUCACUGAUAGAAAAUGAUAGUGCAAAUUUCAGGUUAAAGUUUUUGGCUUCAGGUUAAGUUUUUGGUCAAGGUAGUUUUGAUGAAGUUGAAGUCCAAUCAACUUGAAACUUAGUAUACAUGUGCCCUAUGAUAUGAUCUUUCUAAUUUAAAUGCUAAAUUAGAGUUUUGACCCCAAUUUUACGGUUCACUGAACAUAGAAAAUGAUAGUGCAAAUUUCAGGUUAAAGUUUUUGGUCAAGGUAGUUUUUGAUGAA
rnacentral:lncRNA from 1 species